rnacentral:lncRNA from 1 species
UUGUGCAUUUUGCCAUGCCAUGCUUCAUUAAACCGGGUAUGCAUCAUACUUGAUUGUGCAUCAUGCCAUGCGUAUGUGAUGGUUGAUUACUUUGUUGUUUGGUUCUUUCCGGUGUUGCUUCUUCGGGUUGGUUCCGAGAACGUCGUGUUUGUGAGGAUCCGUUCGACUAUGUCCGUUUGCCUUCUUCAUGGACUCAUUCUUCUUCCUUGCGGGAUCUCAGGCAAGAUGACCAUACCCUCGAAAUCACUUCUAUCUUUGCUUGCUUAGUUGCUCGCUCUUUUGCUAUGCCUAUGCUGCGAUACCUACCACUUGCUUAUCAUGCCACCCAUAUUGUUGAACCAAGCCUCUAACCCACCUUGUCCUAGCAAACCGUUGUUUGGCUAUGUUACCGCUUUGCUCAGCCCCUCUUGUAGCGUUGUUAGUUGCAGGUGAAGAUUGAAGUUUGUUCCUUGUUGGAACAUGGAGAUGUUGUUCCUUGUUGGAACAUGAUUAUUUUGUUGGGAUAUCACAAUAUCUAUUAUUUAAUUAAUGCAUCUAUAUACUUGGUAAAGGGUGGAAGGCUCGGCCUUAUGCCUGGUGUUUUGUUCCACUCUUGCCGCCCUAGUUUUCGUCAUAUCGGUGUUAUGUUCCCGGAUUUUUGCGUUCCUUACGCGGUUGGGUCAUAAUGGGAACCCCUUGACAGUUCGCCUUGAAUCAAACUCCUCCAGCAUGGCCCAACCUUGGUUUUACCAUUUGCCACCUAGCCUUUUUCCCUUGGGAGUCGCACAUCCCGAGGGUCAUCUUUAUUUUAACCCCCCCGGGACAGUGCUUGUCUAAGUGUUGGUCCAAACUAGAGCCACUUGUGGCGCCACCUCAGGGAAACUUAAGGGCUGGUUUUAGCUAUACGUAGUGUUCAUCCGGUGUUGCCCUGAGAACGAGAUAUGUGCAGCUCCUAUCAGGAUGUCGGCGCAUCGGGCGGUCUUGCUGGACUUGUUUUACCAUUGUCGAGGAUGUCUUGUAACCGGGAUUCCGAAUAUGAUCGGGUCUUCCCUCUAGAAGAAAUAUCCUUCGUUGACCGUGAGAGCUUGUGAUGGGCUAAGUUGGGACACCCCUGCAGGGAUAUGAUCUUUCGAAAGCCGUGCCCGCGGUUAUGGGCAGAUGGGAAUUUUUUAACAUCCGGUUGUAGAAAACCUGAAGUUGACCUUAAUUAAAAUACAUCAACCGCGUGUGUAACCGUGAUGGUCUCUUCCGGCGGAGUCCGGGAAGUGAACACGGUGUUGGAGUUAUGCUUGAUGUAGGUUGUUCUAGGAUCACUUCUUGAUCAUACUUUUAUCGACCGUGCUUUGCCUUCUAUUCUCGCUCUCAUUUUCGUAUGUUAGCCACCAUAUAUGCUAGUCGCUUGCUGCAGCUCCACCUCAUACCUUUACCUUACCCAUAAGCUUAAAUAGUCUUGAUCGCGAGGGUGUGAGAUUGCUGAGUCCUCGUGACUCACAGAUACUUCCAAAACCAGUUUGCAGGUGCCGAUGUUUCUGAGCAGGUGACGCAAGCAAGCUCAAGGAGGAGCUCGAUGAAGAUCUUGUCCUUUAUGUUGUUUCGUUUCCAGUUGAUCAGUAGUGGUACCUAGUUGGGGUCGAUCGGGGAUCUGUGUAGCAUUUGGGUAGUCUUCUUUUAUUUUGGGUUCCGUAGUCGGACCUUGAUUGUAUCUGGUUGAUGUAAUGCUUUAUUCAUGUAAUUGUGUGAAGUGGCGAUUGUAAGCCAUCUAUGUAUCUCUUUCCCUUAUGUAUUACAUGGGUUGUGUGAAGAUUACCUCACUUCCG